GGAAUAUUGCACAGUGGGGGAAACCCUGAUGCAGCAACGCCGCGUGAGUGAAGAAGUAUUUCGGUAUGUAAAGCUCUAUCAGCAGGGAAGAAGAUGACGGUACCUGAUUAAGAAGCCCCGGCUAACUACGUGCCAGCAGCCGCGGUAAUACGUAGGGGGCAAGCGUUAUCCGGAUUUACUGGGUGUAAAGGGAGCGCAGACGGCAGUGCAAGUCUGGAGUGAAAGCCCGGGGCCCAACCCCGGAACUGCUCUGGAAACUGUGCGGCUAGAGUACUGGAGGGGCAGGCGGAAUUCCUAGUGUAGCGGUGAAAUGCGUAGAUAUUAGGAGGAACACCAGUGGCGAAGGCGGCCUGCUGGACAGUAACUGACGUUGAGGCUCGAAAGCGUGGGGAGCAAACAGG
rnacentral:rRNA from 1 species